UCUAGGCUUGACAUGGUUGGAUGAUCGACCUGAAAGGGAUCGAUUUGCCUUCGGGUGAAACAAUCACAGGUGCUGCAUGGCUGUCGUCAGCUCGUGUCGUGAGAUGUCGGUUUAGUCCUUCAACGAGCGAAACCCCUGUCUCCAGUUGCCAGCAUUCAGUUGGGACUCUGGAGAGACCGCCGGCGUUAAGCCGGAGGAAGGCGGGGACGACGUCAAGUCAUCACGGCCUUUAUGCCUAGGGCUGCACACGUGCUACAAUGGGUCGGACAAAGGGACGCCAACGCGCAAGCGGGAGCAAAUCUCAGAAACCGCCCCCCAGUUCAGAUUGCAGGCUGCAAUUCGCCUGCAUGAAGCCGGAAUCGCUAGUAAUCGCAGAUCAGCUAUGCUGCGGUGAAUGUGUUCCUGGGCCUUGUACACGCCGCCCGUCAAGCCACGAAAGCGGGGAGCAUCCCAAGUCGCCGCGUGAACCGUAAGGACACAAGCGCCUAAGAUGAACUCCGUGAUUGGGACUAAGUCGUAACAAGGUA
rnacentral:rRNA from 1 species